rnacentral:rRNA from 1 species
GAUGAACGCUGGCGGCGUGCCUAAUACAUGCAAGUCGAGCGAACAGACGAGGAGCUUGCUCCUCUGACGUUAGCGGCGGACGGGUGAGUAACACGUGGAUAACCUACCUAUAAGACUGGGAUAACUUCGGGAAACCGGAGCUAAUACCGGAUAAUAUCUUGAACCGCAUGGUUCAAUAGUGAAAGACGGUUUUGCUGUCACUUAUAGAUGGAUCCGCGCCGCAUUAGCUAGUUGGUAAGGUAACGGCUUACCAAGGCGACGAUGCGUAGCCGACCUGAGAGGGUGAUCGGCCACACUGGAACGGAGACACGGUCAAGACUCCUACGGGAGGCAGCAGUAGGGAAUCUUCCGCAAUGGGCGAAAGCAUGACGGAGCAACGCCGCGUGAGUGAUGAAGGUCUUCGGAUCGUAAAACUCUGUUAUUAGGGAAGAACAAAUGUGUAAGUAACUAUGCACGUCGUGACGGUACCUAAUCAGAAAGCCACGGCUAACUACGUG